AGAGUUUGAUCAUGGCUCAGGACGAACGCUGGCGGCGUGCCUAACACAUGCAAGUCGAGCGAGGAACUUCGGUUCCUAGCGGCGGACGGGUGAGUAACACGUGGGUAACCUGGCUCAUAGAGGGGGAUAGCCUCCCGAAAGGGAGAUUAAUACCGCAUAAGAAGCGAAAGUCGCAUGGCUUUAGCUUUAAAGGAGUAAUCCGCUAUGAGAUGGGCCCGCGGCGCAUUAGCUAGUUGGUGAGGUAACGGCUCACCAAGGCUGCGAUCGGUAGCUGGUCUGAGAGGAUGAUCAGCCACACUGGAACUGAAACACGGUCCAGACUCCUACGGGAGGCAGCAGUGAGGAAUAUUGCGCAAUGGGGGAAACCCUGACGCAGCAACGCCGCGUGGGUGAAGAAGGCCUUCGGGUCGUAAAGCCCUUUCGGACGGGACGAACGCUUCGCGGUGAAAGCCGCGGAGUCUGACGGUACCGUAGGAAGAAGCACCGGCUAACUCCGUGCCAGCAGCCGCGGUAAUACA
rnacentral:rRNA from 1 species